UCACUAUUUAGUCUUCACACUGAAAAUAGCCACAGCAGACAACGAAAAGGCUUUCUCAUCUCAUCAUGAAGCCAGAAGACUGCAGGACAAUGGUCAUUUCAUUAAGCUUCUGACUGUUUCCUGCACAGCAGCUGCUGAAGACUCUCCUGUCCGUACAGAUCAUGCAAGACACCCAUGGCAAACCACAGUGUGCGGAUGUGAUAUAACGCUGGGAGAAGUGAAGCAUUUGUCUUCCAGCCUUCCCUUUGUCCUACCUGGGAUCUCACCCCUUCUUCUUGCAGCAGGAUUGGAACAGCAGUUCUCACCUGCAGAAGUAACUGCUGGAUUUGAUGGCCUACUUCCCCACUCAACACACAUGAACUGUUCUGUAAAGCAGCAUCCCAGCAGCAGUGCAGCCUUUGGCAGCUUAGACUGGUUUGGGACACAACAUGGGACAUGCACACACACGUGACUGGUCCCCACGUGAUACAGACAUGGCACUGUGGACUGAAAAUAAACUGAAAUGAGUGAGACACGUGGAUAAAUGAUGAGGAAUCCCCCAGCCAUCAUUGGCAGGCUACAGGCAACAAGGCCUCAAAGUGAUUUUACCUGACACCCUUUACUAUGGAGAUUUUGGUUCUACAAGAUCCAGAGGAUGUGGCUACAGCACACUGCAGCUCCUCAUCACACUCCAUCACUGAACUACAGAAGCAUGGGGCACCAAAGGCACCCUACCCAUCCUGUAGAGGAAUACACACGUGCAUAAUCUCACAAUGCCGUCUGAAAAUGGAACAAAAAGAAGCAGCUCUGCCGUUACCUUUACAUACAGGCUGUCUGGGACGCUUCACCGUGGUGGAGCAGCAGGUAGCUGCCUUCCUUCCCAGGAUCCUGGCUUCUUCCCAGGGCAAACCUAUUUCGUGGCUUAUGGUUCUGAAUCCAAAUUGCAGGGUUCGGGAGGAUGCAGAGUGCAGCAGAAAAGAGACACAUAAAGGAGUGAUAGUGUUGGACACCGGGUUUGUGCUUUUCUUUUACACCAGAACUCAUUCAAAUGAAGUAGCAGUUAACGAUUGUGGUGUAAGCCUGUGA
rnacentral:lncRNA from 1 species